GCCACGGCUGACAGUCAGUAGUUGGUCUGGCGUGCGAAGGAAUUCUCAGAUCAUCUCUUGGCUGUGGGUGGUGCAGAGAG